GAUGAGAACCCCACAAGCAGCAUGAGGUUCCCUUCAUUGGUGGCUCCAAUAUUGCACUUUUGUCUGCCAACUGGUCUCCACACUGUUCCUAGCACCAUAAAGACGUCAACUCUUUCAACUAAGGAAUUUCUUGGCAAUUGUCGAUUGCUAAGCACAUGACUUCAUGAGUGUUCCCCUAAUACACACCCAUGUUGUAACCUACCAUGCAGACUAUUUCUUGAUGUGAUAUAAACCACCUGUACAUAAUGAGACAGGAGAACUUUUGACUGCAUAUUCAAGCUGGUGUGAAAUCUCAGGAAGUUUUAAUGGCUAACAUUGGUGAAUGAGGACAAUGUGAGUUAGGAUGAGACAUUUUGGGGCAAGAUAUGGAAGGAAACAUUCAUUUAGAUGCAUAGGGAUUACUAAGGUUUUUUAUACUCAAGCCUUGAGGAAAAUUUGGCUUUGGAAGCAGGAGAUGCUCAGUGGCUCUGCCCCAGGAAAGUCUCCUGGAAAGGGCACCUCUGCUUAUGCUCAGUACAGGGAGAACAUUAGCAGGGAUGCAAAGUCUGCUCCCCAUGACAUCAGCUGUCCCUUCUUGGACAUUCUAUUGUCUCCUAGAGAGUUCUGGCAUCCUCUGUGAUGUCACAAGUGUUGUAGUGACAACCAGUGCCCUAGUUUCUCUCAGACUGAGUCUGGCGGUUACAAGGUAAGACAUGUUUUCCCGUCUUCUCAAGCGUUUUGGGAGGGGGAACGUCGAUUGUGGAGAGACUAGAGUGAAGGAGUCUGGCCUUUCGUCUCUAAGUAAUGAUGGACAAAGACAGCACUUCUGGGGAAUGUGGAGUAAGUUCUGGGCAGUAUAUGUUGAGCUUCCUUUCAGGAGGAUGCAGGCUUAAGCUGACCUUUCUAGCAAUGGGCCACAACAACUGGAGCAUCUGAAAAGGAAUUGAAUUUCCAUGAAUAUCACAAUUCGUUAAAGUCAAGGAUUUCAGAACUUUAGUUUCCCCAUCCCCACUGGGAUGCUAUGGUAAGGCCAAUGCUAUUAUACUGUGAACUUCUGGUCUUUACUUUUCAGUUCAUUUGUUCUGUUACAUUGAUAUAAUAACCUCAUCAGGAGUCAUGGAAGGGUCCACCUUUUCUGAGUUUAGACAGGGCAGCAAUGUACUUCACUAUCAUUGCUUCUUUAAAUACAGUGGAUAUCUGACAGUAGGAACAGGGAGAGAAUUGUGCUCCAGGCAAUAACCUUAUGUUCUUAGACCUUCUCUGAUUUCUUCUAACUGGAAGGGUCAUCGUUAGCUUUGUAUAUUAGAGGUUGUGUGUUACAAACAUGUUUCUACAAUACCAAAGCUAUUUGGACCGUGUAGACUAAGAUGCAGCCUGUAACCUAUUGGCACUUCUGGGGUAUUUGGUGUUUCAAAUAGGGGAACAGAUAAGUCUGUUGACCAUGUCCUCCUUGGAAAUGCGUUUUAAAUCUAAAGUUGUUGGCCUAGAGUACCAGGGUAGGACAUCUGAGUGUCUCCAAUCAUUCAAAUGUUGUAGAUGGUGAAUUUAUCAUCUGAGUUCUGAAGCCACAGGGAUGAGGGUCCUGAAACCAAGCUGUACCCUGUUCAGCUGAUGAUAAUUCUGGAGAAGCCAUCUCCAUGGUACAUGUAAGCACGUAAUGUCCGGCAUAGGGAACACCUGGCUGCUUACAUCUCUUGGUCUCUAUAGAGUAGUGGGAGAACUGAGAUCCACUGAGGAGGCCUCUUAAGGAUAGACCAAUCGCCUAGCAGUGACACUGGGUUCCAUGCUUGUUCUCCUGUUUAGGCCUCACUGAGGUCUAUGAACACUCUAUGCAUUCUCCCCAUGCAGGUUCACUUGUGUUCUUCUACCUACAGAAGCUGGGAGAGAAACAUCUUCCCCUGAAACUGACCUAAGCAAGAAGCAGGCCAAGAAGAAAAAGGAGAGGCUGAUUAAAGAGCUGCAGCUCAUUACCGAGGAGAGAAAUGACCUGAGAGAUCGCCUGAGGUUUCUGACAGAGAGAUCCAAGAACAACAGGUAUGAAUCGCUCCAAAUGCUCUUGUUUCAUUCCUGGGUCUGCAAGAUCACCUUCAUCUUCUCCUAUUAAGGUUUUGGGUUCUAGAAAGCUGUGCCUCCCUAACCACCCUGUGCUAAACCUGACCUCCCAUAUAGAGGAGAUUCAGAACCUGACCCUUCCUGAGGAGCAAGGUGUAAAAUGGACUCAUCUGCUUCCAUUUAUUGAAAAGUAGUAUUUGUGGUCUGAAUGAAGAAUUUGGGGAUAAAGUCAGGGAGAGUGAGUUCCCAGUGUGCAUUUGCAAAGCCCUUGACAUCUGGUGGCUUUGCAAGAUUGUAAUUGCAGUGAGUUUAUGGUGAGUCUCUGUACUUGCUAGGCAUGGGACUGAGUGCUGGAAGAUCCAGGCAGCAGCCUGAGGGGCCUGGUCCCACACUGUUCAUCUCAAUGCUUGACUAGAAGUUCUCAGGCUCAGGCCUGUUUGUUAUUGUCUGUGUGUCUUACACUCUGAGACAGCAAUGGUGCAUGCAUUUCUCCUGGUUUUCACAGUGCUCACUGUUUCCAUAUUUCUCUUUCUCUUUCUCUCUGUUUACAUUUCUCUUUUUUUGUGGGUGUGUCUCAGUCUGUGAGUCUGUGUGUGCAUACAUCCAAAUACAUAUGCACAACUUUUAUAUGUUUAUAUUUCCCUCCACACCUGGAAUCUAGGGGUCUAUGUCUUGGCCUGAGUAUUUACCUGUAACACUUUCAUGGUGAUGUGAAUGCUUUGUUCUGGGAGCCCACUGUCAACAGCACAGUUCUUUGCCUAUGUGACCACGAUUGUCUGUUUAUUUGUAUUCCUUGUGCAGAUUAUAAUUUUGUGUUGAUAUAAGGUCUGUUAUCGGGACAGGAGAAAAGAAAUCACAGGUUUCUGGGUGUGUUGGGGUGGGGGAGCAUGGAGAGGUGUGGCCUAGGCUCUUGAUAGCUCAACUGGCUUGACUGCAGAUUUCCUCUUGAUUGAACAAAGGGAGCCAGGGAAGCCACCAUCUGGAUGCUGAGAUUCUGGUGUCCUGGACAAACAAAAACAAGUUUCUGAAGCUGAAGAAGAUCCCUUAAAUGUAGAAUUCAGAAGGUGUCCUUCCAGGACUGGUGUAGUACAGGACCCACCCUGAGCUUAUAUAUUCCUAAAUUCUGAUGUUCAUUGGAUUCUAUCAUUUGGGGCCAGGCCACACUUCAGGCCAAAUCCAUAUUAUGAAGACCUGGAGAGAAUGGAGGAGGCGGUCAUGUCAAUUCUGCACAACUUAGAGAUGGAGAACACUGAGAUCCAUGAGAACAACCAUAAGCUGAAGAAGGAGAUGACCUUCUCUAGAAACCUGCUCAGCCAGCUCCUGAUGGAGAACACAUGUAGGAAGAAGUUGGUCCCACUGAAGCAGGGGGGCAAGGAGAGACAUCUUGAGUGUGCACUGAACCAGAAAUAUUUGGUUGACUUCAACAAGAAAGAUAAAGACCAGCAACGUCCAGACCCAGCAUCAUCAGAAAGUGGGAGAGAGCUGGAAUUGGACACACCUCAGUAAGAGAGCUUCCUGAAGAAUAAGUUGCUUUCUCAGGAGUCCCUGAUGACAAACAUCCUGAAUGAAAACAGCACUUGAGAGACAACUUGGGCAACCGCCUUUCAUUAUGUGUGCUAGAGGAGAAACAGCAAGACAUCUGUGCUUCUAAAUGUUCGUUAAGAAUAUGCUGUUUAGAAAUAUUUUUGUUAUGAUUUUAAUUGAAGUUUUCGUUUUGUUGUUUCAUAUUUAUAUGUUCUUGUUACUAUUUUUCACUUUCAAAUAUUUUUAAAUAUUUUUAUUCAUUUUAAUCCUGUUUUGUUGUCAAAAUGAAUUCCUUAUGAAUAAAAAUUGAAUUCUAUCUCUUGACUCUUAAGACCAUCUUUCUUACUCAAGGGUUAUGUCCCUCCUGUGGUCUUAGAACUGACAACUAGAUAUGGAUCUUUGCAUGUUCCAUGGAGCCUGGGCUAAUAAGUGAAUUCAAAGUCACCAAGGGGUACCCAGUGUGACAGUGUCUUUUGUGUGGAGAAUGUGGCUGU